rnacentral:lncRNA from 1 species
UUACACAAGGAGGCACCCUGUGAAAUUUAUUGUGAUGCAGCUGAAGAUAAUACUUCUCCCCUGCCACCUAAAGAAAGCAUGUUUCCAGUCUCAACUAGGAACCAGGGGAUGACUUGAGGUGGUGAAAGGUGGCAGAACUGCCAAAUGGAAGUAACCUAGGUCCCUGAAUGACUUAAUGGAGCAGAAUUUCUCCAUUGAUCCUCACGGAAUUGUGUCAUGAAUGUGAAACAGGCCUUUAUUGUAUUAAAUGCCUGAGAUAUUUGGUUGGUCAAAUCUCCCCUGAUUAAACAGUUAAUCUCCCCUGACAAAAGUAGGACACUUCAAAGAUACUGGAAAAAUUCUUUCCCUUCAGUGUGAUAGUGAAUACAUGGAUAUUUAUCUUUUAUUAUUCUUUAAAUUGUCAAUAUAUGUAAU